AGUGAACGCUGGCGGUAGGCCUAACACAUGCAAGUCGAACGGCAGCACAGUAAGAGCUUGCUCUUACGGGUGGCGAGUGGCGGACGGGUGAGGAAUACAUCGGAAUCUACUUUUUCGUGGGGGAUAACGUAGGGAAACUUACGCUAAUACCGCAUACGACCUACGGGUGAAAGCAGGGGAUCUUCGGACCUUGCGCGAUUGAAUGAGCCGAUGUCGGAUUAGCUAGUUGGCGGGGUAAAGGCCCACCAAGGCGACGAUCCGUAGCUGGUCUGAGAGGAUGAUCAGCCACACUGGAACUGAGACACGGUCCAGACUCCUACGGGAGGCAGCAGUGGGGAAUAGUGGACAAUGGGCGCAAGCCUGAUCCAGCCAUACCGCGUGGGUGAAGAAGGCCUUCGGGUUGGAAAGCCCUUUUGUUGGGAAAGAAAAGCAGCAGGUUAAUACCCCGCUGUUCUGACGGUACCCAAAGAAUAAGCACCGGCUAACUUCGUG
rnacentral:rRNA from 1 species